GGUGGCCUAGCGGUUAGAGCGUCCGCCUCGGAUGCGGGAGGUUGUGAGUUCAAACCCCAGACGAGUCA